rnacentral:rRNA from 1 species
AUUGAACGCUGGCGGAAUGCUUUACACAUGCAAGUCGAACGGUAGAGGGGGCAACCCCUCGAGAGUGGCGAACGGGAGAGUCAUAUAUCGGAACGUGCCCAGUUGUGGGGGAUAACGUAGCGAAAGUUACGCUAAUACCGCAUACGAUCGAAGGAUGUAAGCGGGGGAUGGCAAGACCUCGAGUGAUUGGCGCGGCCGAUAUCAGAUUAGGUAGUUGGGGGGGUAAAGGCUCACCAAGCCAACGAUCUGAAGCUGGUCUGAGAGGACGACCAGCCACACUGGAACUGAGACACGGUCCAGACUCCGACGGGAGGCAGCAGUGGGGAAUUUUGGACAAUGGACGCAAGUCUGAUCCAGCCAUUCCGCGUGCAGGAUGAAGGCCCUCGGGUUGUAAACUGCUUUUGUACGGAACGAAAAGGUCUCUCUUAAUACGGGGGGCUCAUGACGGUACCGUAAGAAUAAGCACCGGCUAACUACGUGCCAGCCGCCGCAGUAA